AGGUCCAGCCUGCCCAGUGACUCUGUUCAACGGCCGCGGUAUCCUAACCGUGCGAAGGUAGCGUAAUCACUUGUUCUUUAAAUGAGGACUCGUAUGAAUGGCACCACGAGGGUUAUACUGUCUCCUUUUUCUAAUCAGUGAAACUAAUCUCCCCGUGAAGAAGCGGGGAUAAAAAUAUAAGACGAGAAGACCCUAUGGAGCUUUAAACUUUAUAACAAAUGCUAUACAUUUAAUAACCUUCAGAGCAUUAAGCAACAUCCUAGCAUUAUGAUUAUUAGUUUUAGGUUGGGGUGACCGCGGAGCAAAAAUUAACCUCCACAUUGAACGGGACUAGACCCUGAGCAAAAAGCAACAACUUUAAGCACCAAUAAAUUGACAUUAAUUGACCCAAUAUUUUGAUCAACGAACCAAGUUACCCUAGGGAUAACAGCGCAAUCCACUUCAAGAGCUCCUAUCGACAAGUGGGUUUACGACCUCGAUGUUGGAUCAGGGUAUCCCAGUGGUGCAGCCGCUACUAAAGGUUCGUUUGUUCAACGAUUAAAACCCU
rnacentral:rRNA from 1 species